AGAUUCAGCCUCGUCCGCGUCAGCCGACCCACGGGCGGUUGCUCCCGGAUGCUCCCGGCCGCCGGUCGCGCCGCAAGGCGCGCUCCGGUGCGAGUCGGGCGCACCGGCCGCCCGCUGGCUAAAGCGGCGGCGGGGUGCACUUCUCACCCAUAUUUGGACGUCGCGACUCGUCGGAGGAGUCUACGGACGAAGCGGCCUAAGGCCCGGGACAGAGACCGGGGGUGCUUCCGCUGAGGCGCGGAUAAAGGGUGCCCUCGGACCCCGGUUAAAGCCCGGCCGCCCUCCGACGGUCUUUAUAUCAUGGAGGAUAAAGGCCGGCUACCUCGCCUCGCGCGAGGAGCGAGCGUCCGAGCCGUUGGGGCAAGCUCUCCGGGGAUGAUUCCGGGUGUCGCGUGGCUCUCGUCACGCCCCCGGACCCCGGUAGGCUGUUGGUCCCCGGCGUUCUCGGACAAUGGGCCACUCCAGUCAGCGGCGCUUCCGCUUCGGGUACUCUCCCGACCCGUCUUGAAA
rnacentral:rRNA from 1 species